rnacentral:lncRNA from 1 species
UUGUCUCUCACUUUCUCCUGCCUCAAAUAACAACACACUUGUGUUUGGGAUACAGCAGGCAGCACAGAGGUUGGAGAGACUCACUGGGCAGAGCUUGGCUUGGGGAAACUUGACUCUUACUUCCAUGUCCCAAUCUGCAGCCAACUUUUGCACACCCGGUAAGGCUCACCUUAACACCAACCUUAUCUUUGAGUCCUUUAUUUCUUCUCCAGAUGUGUUUUAUGCGAGAUGCAAAAUGUCCCUCACAUGUGUUUUAGCACAUUGUUGCUGAGUGAUAGUCCUAAUUUGGGGGGUUGUGGACCUGUUAAGAGGUGGGUUGCUGGGAGGGCAGGUCUUGGGGUUCAUAACCAGCCUUUCUCCCUGUCUUCCUGCUUCCCAAUGUGAGCAAUAUGCUGAUACCUAGGAAACAUCUUGUACCCCAAGAUGCGUUUGAGUAUGAAUGCUGUAUGAUUCUGAGAAUAUCUUUCUUGAGAAUAGAUAACAAUAGAAGCAAAGCAGUAGGCAGCGAAGAAGAAGAAGAAGAAGAAGAAGAAGAAGAAGAAGAAGGAGGAGGAGGAGGGGAGGAGGAGGAAGAG